ensembl:lncRNA
GGGCUGUGUGAGGAAAAUGGCACGUGAACGGCAGGAGCACAGCUGCCGCUUGACAGGCGCCCUGUGAAUGAUGGGUAAAAAAAAGCUGUUGCACGGUGUGCGACCACUCUGAAGGGAAGCCAGCCUCCCGAUUGCUCAUUGCUAACUGUGUACUCACACGAAUCCUCUCAGGAUCCCUUCCCCUUGACCAAUUUUCCUCAACUUUCUUCACUGCCUCAGCAUACGACACCCUCUGCUUUACUCUAACCCUGGUAACCUCAACCUGCUUCUCUCACACCGGACAUUUCGGAUCUUCAGCCCCAUGGGCAUCCCUACAAUUAGCACAUACCGCUUCAUUCCCCUUUGUCUCAUGCCCUUCUGCACACUCCUCACACCUAAUAACCUCCUUCCUACACACUGCUACCACAUGCCCAUAAGCUUGGCACCUGUAAAAACUUAAUGUAUUUGGCACAUAAGCUCGUACAGGAUGACUGACAUAUCCUAACGUCACAUUGUCUUCUGUUUCACCACUCACGCCACACUGUCUGCGCUGCACCAAACGACGAGUGUCACAAACACCAGGAAUCUUUCCCUUCAGUUGGUCCACUUUCACAUUUACCGUUACCCCAGUAAUCACAAGUCACAUCGCUUGUCCCAAUUAGUUUGGCCCAAAGCCCCUGCUCCCUCUGACCAGCAGAAAUACAAACAAUCACAAGACUACUUCUGGUUACCUUCACCGAUUCCACAGCACCAAACUCCUUUUUCACCCACCCUGAAACCACAAAUGGAUCAGCCAAAAGGCAGGGUCCACUUUCUCCAGAAAUGUCACUCCUACUGUCACAGACUCAUCUUUAUCCUGACAAUUGGUGCAAGUAUCGGGCUCUGAGGACUUCACCGACCCUGCCUCCUCCAAUAAAUUGCCCUCAUUAACUUCCAUUUCUCCUCCAGACCUUGAUAUGGCUUACGGCUCACUCUGCUCCUACUUUCUAACAUUCUUCUUCGACAAACCAUCUCUCUUUUUCCCACAAUUUUUCCCAUACUCAAGCUCACCCUCUUCCUCCGUCUCUCUCUUUGACCUCCAAAUUAAUCAUAGAGGGCAGAACAAGCAAGGAGUUGGGCAGAGCCAAGCACAAGCUAGUGAGAUCCUAUUGGCGCAUUCUAGCAUUUAUUAGCAUAUUUCUGUUAGGGAACGCCUACUCUGUGAAGUGUGAGUGUGCAUUCUAGAAAACGUAGUCCACUCGGUUUGUUACAGAUUCUUGUUGUGGAAACAGAAAACUGUAUGGUGAUCAAAUAUCUUAUCGAAAUUUGCAGAAUGUCGGCCAAAUUCUAUCUCGCUCCAUCUUCUCUCACUGCCGGACACUGGGCUUCCUCUCAUCACAAUAUUUGGUAGUGAGUAGAAACGCCAAUGCGAUGCUUCACAUUUAUACAUCUGGUUAAAUAUCUGACUCAUUGUUCUAUCUAUGAUUAUACAGAUGGUAGAGCUUCAUACUGUAUAUACUGUACAGUCAUUGGCAUAGAGUCACAGAAUUACAUGUGAUUUAUAGGAUCUUUAUGUAGUCUGACGUCUCAAAAAAAAUACUCAGUUAUAUAUUUAUAUUAUUCUGAUGUGGCUCAUGGAAUAGAAUGCAUUUGUAUAAUGUUGAUUGUAACAAUAGGAAACAUUAAAUGGUACAACACAGAAACUCAAGAGUUAAGUUGACAUUCAUGCAGUCUGUCACACCUACUCCCGCUCCCCCUCUCCAGCGCACAACGUCGCUGGUCUACUAACCACCGGUCCAGGCACCAUCAUUACGCACAUCUGCGCCCCAUCAUUACGCACACCUGGACUUCAUCACCUUGAUUACUCUCCCUUAGCCCUCAGUAGCCUCAGUCAUCAGGCAGUAUUGGUUUUGUUCACAUUCAGUACUCUUCUCCCUUUUAGAUUAUUAUUUGGCUUGUUCAUGUUUAUUAAACUCACCUUCUGCACCUGCUUCCUGACUCCAAGCGCAUACGUUACAGAAUACUGCCUCAAUAAUUAUGGAACCAGCAGAAGAUAAAGAGAUCUCCCAGACUGUCGCUGAAUAGGGAUACCUACUUUGCCAACACCACGAUCAGCUGAUGCAACUGAGUGCGGCUAUGGAUGAGGUCCUCCACUGCCUCGACACCACCCGAGAGGUUUUGCCUCCAACUAGCGGAGGGCCUCCUACCACGAGUCGUCUCAGCAAGCUAGCCCCCUAGCCUACCCAGCAGUCCGCCCAGGGAGGCGAUGCCCCAAUGUCCCUCCCGGACAAGUAUGACAGGACUCCAUCCAAAUGCCGUGGCUACCUACUCCAGUGCUCCCUCUAUUUCGCCCAUCUCUCCUCGCCCUUCUCCUUUGGCCAUCCUGUGGCAGAGCGUGAACCCAUGGAGGUAGGGGCCAAACACCUCUUUUGCAGAGCGGUGUCGCCGGAGACAUGGGACUGUGUUCCUAUUGCGGCCAGGAAGUGAACCAGCUUCAGCGGUGUCCGAUGCAUCCCAACCCAGGAUGCACUGGGGCAGAGAGGCGGGCCAGUGAUCACCUGUCUGUAAUGAACACGAAGGAAGACAGAGAGUUGGUUUCAAGCGCAGGGCGCAGCAGGUGUUUAUUGCAAAGUACCACAGGAGGAGGCAGGUAGCUGGGUCCAGGGGCAGGCAGAAGGUCAUACACAGGGGGUCCAAAAGGGCAACAGUACAGGCAGGGUAAAAGCUAGUAACUUAGUCCGGGAGAUCAGGCAAUAGGUAGAUAACAGGAAAUCUGAUAGGCUAAAGUAUAGGCAAAAGGCGUUGUUAUUGAGGCAGGCAAAAUUGUUGGCCCCGUGUUUUGAGAAGUAGAUGUGGACAUCCGCCAGUCUCUGGAGAGGGAACCCACACCUGCUACCUGCCAUCCUGAGUGCAUCUACAUCCCCAUGGGGUUACGAGACCGACUGUUGACCUGGACAUCCAGGUUGCUGAGGCACUGUUCCAGUAGGUCUUCCAGCAUUAUGGCCUUCCGGAGGACAUCGUCUCCGAACGUGGACCCAAAUUCACGUUGCGGGUCUGGAGAGCCUUCGUGGAGAAGCUGUGGCCAGGGCCAGCCUCACAUUCGGGUACUGGCCUUAGUCCAACUGGCAGGUGGAGAGGACCAACCAGGAGCUGGGGAGGUUCCUUAGGAGUCACUGCCAGGAGCGGCAGGUUUCCUUCACUGGGCGGAGUACGCCCAGAACUCCCUUCGUCAAUCCUCCACCGGGCUGACUCCCUUCCAGUGCGUCCUGGGAUAUCAGCCAGCCCUGGCCUUGUGGACCCCGAGCCAGACCAAAGCCCCUGCGAUGAACGAGUGGUUCCGGCAUGCAAAGGAAGUUUGGAACGCUGCCCACGUGAGGCUCCAGCGCGCUGUCCGCUACCAGAAGGAGCAGGUGGAUCGCCACCGCAAUGAGGCUCCCGUGUUCCAUCCUGGUGAUUGUGUCUGGCUCUACCAAGAACCUCUCGCUCCACCUGCCCUGCCGGAAGCUGAGCCCCCGGGUUUGUGGGGCCCUUCAAGGUCCUCCAGAGGGUCAACAAGGUAACAUGUCGGUUACAACUCCCCACCAACUACCGGAUCUCACCCUCUUUUGGGUCCCAGUGGCUGACAUCCUGGACCCCAACAUCGUCCGGGAUUUCUAUCUCCGCCAUCCGGAACGGCCCGCUCCUUGCCCUCGGGCCAGUACUAAUGGCCGGCGUCAUCCUGCAUGUUGUGGAGAGGUACUGUCACGUCUACUCCCGCUCCCCAUCUUCAGCGCGCCACAUGGCCGGUCUACUAAUCAACAAUAUAUACAACUAUAAUAAUAGUGUUAUUAAAAAUAGCAUAAAAUAAAAGUAAGAACAAAAUUC